rnacentral:rRNA from 1 species
AGCCCAGACUCCUACGGGAGGCAGCAGUGGGGAAUAUUGCACAAUGGGCGCAAGCCUGAUGCAGCCAUGCCGCGUGUAUGAAGAAGGCCUUCGGGUUGUAAAGUACUUUCAGCGGGGAGGAAGGUGUUGAGGUUAAUAACCUCAGCAAUUGACGUUACCCGCAGAAGAAGCACCGGCUAACUCCGUGCCAGCAGCCGCGGUAAUACGGAGGGUGCAAGCGUUAAUCGGAAUUACUGGGCGUAAAGCGCACGCAGGCGGUCUGUCAAGUCGGAUGUGAAAUCCCCGGGCUCAACCUGGGAACUGCAUUCGAAACUGGCAGGCUGGAGUCUUGUAGAGGGGGGUAGAAUUCCAGGUGUAGCGGUGAAAUGCGUAGAGAUCUGGAGGAAUACCGGUGGCGAAGGCGACCCCCUGGACAAAGACUGACGCUCAGGUGCGAAAGCGUGGGGAGCAAACAGGAUUAGAUACCCCGGUA